UACGUAGGCGGCAAGCGUUGUUCGGAAUUACUGGGCGUAAAGAGUGUGUAGGCGGUGCUCUAAGUCUGUUGUGAAAUCUCCCGGCUUAACCGGGAGGGUGCGGCGGAAACUGGAGUGCUUGAGGGUGGGAGAGGUAAGCGGAAUUCCUGGUGUAGCGGUGAAAUGCGUAGAUAUCAGGAGGAACACCUGUGGUGUAGACAGCUUACUGGACCACUUCUGACGCUGAGACACGAAAGCGUGGGUAGCAAACAGG
rnacentral:rRNA from 1 species